UGUGAUUGGAUAUUUUAUAUAGUGAAAGGACUAUUUAAGUGUGAUCUCAUAAAACAAAGGAGAGAACUAUAGUGAUCACAUAAUGUCCUGUUACAGCAUGAGCUGUAAUCUGAUGCAAAGCAGCAGGCAGUCAGUUAAGACAAUUAAAUGCUCCCCCACCCCACCGAAACCUUUGUUCUUACAUCUCAAAUUAACAGAACUAAUGUACAUUGAACUUUUCUACAUUCCUUGAAUAGGCCAAACAGUCACACAAGGAAGCAUCACUAUACCACAUAUUGCAUUGUUGUGCUAAAAAGGCAUUCCGUUAAACUGAUUGUGUCAAUAGAUUGCUUAUCUCUCCAACAAAUACUGAC